rnacentral:rRNA from 1 species
CCUACGGGUGGCAGCAGUGGGGAAUAUUGGGCAAUGGGCGCAAGCCUGACCCAGCAACGCCGCGUGAAGGAAGAAGGCUUUCGGGUUGUAAACUUCUUUUCUCAGGGACGAAGCAAGUGACGGUACCUGAGGAAUAAGCCACGGCUAACUACGUUCCAGCAGCCGCGGUAAUACGUAGGUGGCAAGCGUUAUCCGGAUUUACUGGGUGUAAAGGGCGUGUAGGCGGGACUGCAAGUCAGAUGUGAAACCCACGGGCUCAACCUGUGGCCUGCAUUUGAAACUGUAGUUCUUGAGGACUGGAGAGGCAGACGGAAUUCCGAGUGUAGCGGUGAAAGGCGUAGAUAUUAGGAGGAACACCAGUGGCGAAGGCGGGCUGCUGGACAGCAACUGACGCUGAGGCGCGAAAGCGUGGGGAGCAAACAGGAUUAGAUACCCGGGUAGUC